GAGGGUAUAUCUCAGUGGUUGAGUGCUUGCCUAGCAUGUACGAGAUCCUGGGUUCAAUCCCCAGGACCUCCA
rnacentral:tRNA from 1 species